ACAAGCGGUGGAGCAUGUGGUUAAUUCGAAGCAACGCGAAGAACCUUACCAGGCCUUGACAUGCAGAGAACUUUCCAGAGAUGGAUUGGUGCCUUCGGGAACUCUGACACAGGUGCUGCAUGGCUGUCGUCAGCUCGUGUCGUGAGAUGUUGGGUUAAGUCCCGUAACGAGCGCAACCCUUGUCCUUAGUUACCAGCACGUUAUGGUGGGCACUCUAAGGAGACUGCCGGUGACAAACCGGAGGAUGGUGGGGGUGACGUCAAGUCAUCAUGGCCCUUACGGCCUGGGCUACACACGUGCUACAAUGGUCGGUACAAAGGGUUGCCAAGCCGCGAGGUGGAGCUAAUCCCAUAAAACCGAUCGUAGUCCGGAUCGCAGUCUGCAACUCGACUGCGUGAAGUCGGAAUCGCUAGUAAUCGUGAAUCAGAAUGUCACGGUGAAUACGUUCCCGGGCCUU
rnacentral:rRNA from 1 species